UACAGAGGUGGCAAGCGUUGUUCGGAAUUACUGGGCGUAAAGGGCGCGUAGGCGGUCUUCUAAGUCUUGUGUGAAAUCCCUCGGCUCAACUGAGGAACUGCACGGGAUACUGGAAGACUUGAGUUCGGGAGAGGGAAGCGGAAUCCCGGGUGUAGCGGUGAAAUGCGUAGAUAUCCGGAGGAACACCGGUGGCGAAGGCGGCUUCCUGGACCGAUUACUGACGCUGAGGCGCGAAAGCUAGGGGAGCAAACGGG
rnacentral:rRNA from 1 species